rnacentral:rRNA from 1 species
GGCUACACACGUGCUACAAUGGGUAGUACAGAGAGUCGCAAAGCCGCGAGCUGGAGCUAAUCUCAGAAAACUAUUCUUAGUUCGGAUUGUACUCUGCAACUCGAGUACAUGAAGUUGGAAUCGCUAGUAAUCGCGAAUCAGCAAUGUCGCGGUGAAUACGUUCUCGGGUCUUGUACACACCGCCCGUCACACCACGAGAGUUGGUUGCACCUGAAGUAGCAGGCCUAACCGUAAGGAGGGAUGCUCCGAGGGUGUGAUUAGCGAUUGGGGUGAAGUCGUAACAAGGUAUCCGUACGGGAACGU